GGUUGUGGCUCAGUGGUAGAGCGUUUGCCUUGGGUGUGUGAGGCACUGGGUUCAAUCCUCAGCACCA
rnacentral:tRNA from 1 species